UACGUAGGGUGCAAGCGUUGUCCGGAAUUAUUGGGCGUAAAGAGCUCGUAGGCGGUCUGUCGCGUCUGCUGUGAAAACUCGGGGCUUAACCCCGGGCCUGCAGUGGGUACGGGCAGACUAGAGUGCGGUAGGGGAGACUGGAAUUCCUGGUGUAGCGGCGAAAUGCGCAGAUAUCAGGAGGAACACCGGUGGCGAAGGCGGGUCUCUGGGCCGAUACUGACGCUGAGGAGCGAAAGCGUGGGGAGCGAACAGG
rnacentral:rRNA from 1 species